GGGGUCGACUGGUUUUGACAGCGAGAUUAAUUAGAUUGUAAGCACGUCGUGUAAUGGCAUUGAUACACGUAAAAGGCUAGACCAAAUUUUAAACGGCGAGAAUAACUACGCUUUAGCUGCAUAAUCUGAAUUACAGUAAGAUUAAGCCUCGUCCUACUAGGUAGGAGUGCUAAAUGUCUCGAGAAAGCCUUAGUUAAUGGCGUUCUUUAUUAGGCAUCGUAAAAAUUGACUUAGAUUAGGUAGUGCUCUGAUACCUUUUCGAGAUUAAGGAGCUAAGCUAAAAGUGGGUUGUCUUUAACCAGCUUUAAGUCGAAAACCUAAGAAAAGAAUAAACGUGUAGAAAGCCUUUUGGUUACUUGUUUGGACGAGAGUUCGAUUCUCUCCGACUCCACAA
rfam:Winogradskyella psychrotolerans RS-3 Winogradskyella_psychrotolerans_contig_17, whole genome shotgun sequence.